UCUUUGCUCAGGGAAACCACUCAUCAGUUCGGUUGUUUACCUCAAACAGAUAAGGACCAAUUAACCCCACUUUUACCACUUUGGCCAGUUAUAUUAUUAUUACAGCAUUUCUUUAGUGGUAGUAGAUGGGAAAUGUAGGGAAAUCAACAAAUUCAGUAAUCUCAUUAUAAACAUAUUUGUAUCCAGUCUCCAUUUAGCUUCAUAUUACACUGCUUAGGCUGAAUUUUUACUUAGCAGAAACAAGUCUUACUUGACUACAUAAAUACAUUUUCCUAUCAAGAAAAAGAAAAAAAAACUUAGUUCAUUUUCAAAGACACUGAGCUUUUAUUUCUGUGAACAGCAAGAAAACUGGCUAGAAGCCUGCUGACUCCCUCAGCCAAUCAGGAUAAUGUGACCAUAAAUGUCCAUGAAUUCCCCCCUCAGUGAAUCUCUGCCUUUUUUAUUUCUGUCGUGGGACAUGUAUCUUACAGUUCUGUACCACAUAUUCUGCCAUUUAUGUCUUCCUUUCCUCAUUUCAAAAAAAAAAAGAAAAAAACACAUUUAAGCUCGGUGAGAUCUCUUACCAAAUAAUCCAUUGUCUUUUAUGUUAAAAGCUGUUAACUUCAUACACAUGCAACUUUUAAUUGCUUCUUAAUGAUAAUACCUCUUCAUUUAGAUCACUUAGUAUGAGCCAGGUACCAUUUAGUGGGUUUUAUAAAUAUGAUUUCAUUCAAUGCUCAUAAAAAUCUUGGGAGGUAGGUCUUCUUAUUGUGUGCACAAUAUAGGUGAAACAAACAUGGGCCCAAGCACUUGAGGAUCUUGCAGUAGUCACCCAACCAGUAAGCUGUAGAGCUGGGGUUUGAACCAAAGCAAUUGCUUCUCGCAUAUAACAACAUACUGCCUUCUUGAACUAACACAUACCAGUUAAUCAAGCACUCACUAUGUGUUAGACCCUUUUAUAUAUACUAACUUAUUUAAUUCUCAUACCCACACCUACAGGGAAAGAAUAACUUUCCUGAUUCACAUAGAGGUAACUCGAUCAAGUUCAUGUGUCAAGUAAAGGUAUCAAGAUUUGCUUGACUCUAAAGCCUGGGCUCUUUGCACAGUAUCAUGAUAAUGCCUGUCUUUUUAGUGAAUGGGACGGUUUGCCUCAUUGCUGUUUUUCAUGGAAAGCCCAUCUGAAACCUUUACAUACCCACGAGCACAGACUGAAACACGUAGUAUCUGGGACUGGGACUAAAUUACUUUGCCCAAUCUUUUAUCUACCGUUUCCCCCAUCCAGCCUCUCUCUCCCUCCCUACAGUGUUCCCUUCCCAGGAUAUGAUGCGUCUCCCACUCUGCCCACCCCACUGCUUGUGGUACUGUUAACAAAGCAGCUGUUGGAUUGAAUUGGGAAAUGUCCCUGUUUUGACCUUGGUUCUUCCUCUGUCCUAGGAUCAUACCUCUUCAAUUUGCCUUCCUUUCCACGGAUACUAGUCUAGACCUCACCCAAAAUGAAAUUUACUAUCAACUUUUCCUGGUGUGAAUAUAGUUAAAAAGUAUAAAUCACGACGAUGGAAGAUAAAGCAAUGG
rnacentral:lncRNA from 10 species